rnacentral:tRNA from 1 species
GAGGGUAUAGCUCAAGUGAUAGAGUGCAUGCUUAGCAUGCAUGAGGUCCUGGGUUCAAUCCCCAGUGCUUCCU